CCCUUAGAUGUUCUGGGCUGCACGCGCGCUACACUGGCAGGUUCAGCGAGCUUCAUGCCCUGAUCUGAAAGGAAUGGGAAAUCUUUUCAAAACCUGCCGUGCUUGGGAUAGAUGUUUGCAAUUAUUCAUCUUCAACGAGGAUUGCCUUGUAAGCGCACGUCAUCAGCGUGCAUUGAAUACGACCCUGUAUUCUGUACACACCGCCCGUCGCUCCUACCGAUUGAAGUUUUCGGUGAGUUGACAGGAGGAUUUUUUUGAAACUGGUUCGCCAGUGGAUUUUAGAUCCAAAUGCCAACGAAUCGAUGGCUUUAGAGGAAGGAGAAGUCGUAACA
rnacentral:rRNA from 1 species